rnacentral:lncRNA from 1 species
UAAAUUAAAUUUAUCCAAUAUUUUAUCAUAAACAACCUACCCAAAAAUAUUUAACCCUUCCAUUAAUCCUCUCCAACCAAAAAUUCUUCUCAACACUGCGUGUAUCUCCAACUUCCCAAGGCGUCACCCAUCCUAUCACGCUUAACUCUGUUAACCUCUUGGGCCUAGCCACCACCCAAAAUGCUUAAGCUGUGUUAAGAGUUUAGUUCUAUUAUAUCUUAUAUAUAGGACAACCUGCAGUCUCACAAUCUCCCCCCCUUUAAGCUCUGACAUCCGCCUCAGGCUCAAACUCACAAGUACCAAACGAUGUGAGACUCGUCUAGCUAGCCAUAACCAACUUUGUAGUGAGUUGCACUCCACCCAUCACAGUUAACAACAUGAGAGUUUCGCUCUCCCCACUGUAUAAUCCUGACUCAGCCGAGACUCAUCUAAUACUUCCGACUGGUAAUUGGCUCUGAUACCAACUGUGACGCCCCAACUUCACGGGGGGUCACCUACUCCCCUGGCUCUCUCGCUUUCCCCCGUUCUCGGCAUUUUUGGCUAUAAUUUUUGGGGAUUUUUGGUGAUUUUUUCGGAAGUGUGAUAUGAGUCUCGGCUAAAUCAGGAUUGUAUAGUAUAAGAGUCUCGCUCUUCCAGCUGUAUAAUCCUGAUUCAGCCGAGACUCAUCUCACACUUAUGGCUGGUAAUUGGCUCUGAUACCAACUGUGACGUCCCAACUUUCUAGGGGACACCUAUCUUAGAACUACUCUCAUCCUAAUGCGCUUAACUCUCUUAACCUCUUGGGUCUAGCCACCACCUAAAAUGCUCAAGCCAGAUUUGGAAUGGAUUUGUAAAGAUCCGAACCUGAACCCGGCUACUAAAUUUGAAACCCAAAUCAAAAUCCGAAUUCGAAUCGAAAGAAUUUUGAAAAUACAUAUCUAAAUUCUUACCCGAAAAAAUCCGAAACUCAAAACCAGAAUUCGAAUCCGAAAAUCAGAAACUAUAACAAUUAUUUCUCUUUAUCAUAUUUCAAAACAUAUUACAUUAAAUUUAAAUUUUUAAAAUACAAAUUCAAAUAUAAUAUCAAAUAUAUAUAACGUAAAAUCAAUUUGGAUUCAAAUUAGGUUCGAGUUCAGAUUGGGUAUAAACAAAAUCCAUACCCAAAUCUAAAACCGUCAGUUUUAAUUUUUUAUAUCCGCCAUUCGAAACUAAAUACGUUUAACAUCAAAUAAAUUUGUUUCAUUCGAAUUCGAUUUUGAAUAAAAUUUUGAAUAUUCAUAUCCAUUUACAUCCCUAAUUGUAAAUAAAUCUCGGUCCCACUUUAUUUAUUUAUUUAUUUUUACCAAUUCAGCAAGAAUCUUCUGUCACAAUCAGUUCCGAGUGAAAAGAUAAAUAUGAACAAAAAUAGAUUACAAAGUUCAACUUUUAUAUAUAAAUAUAUUCCUCUGAAAUUUCACCGUUAGCAAACUGUUUAUAUUUUAAUGAUAAAUAAGUGAAAUAUCAAUUUUGUCAUUACAAAUAUGUAUGUUCCUACAAAAGCUACCACAGUAUAAUAUAAUAGGGGUAAAAAUGUAAAGUUAUCUCAUAAAUUAACCAAGGUUAAGUAUUUAACCUAUAGUUAAAUUAAAUUUUUUAGCGGAUUCUAAUUGCAGGGACAUAUUUCAAAACUUUUGUGGAAAUAAUAUAUGAAAGUUGAAUUUUAUAGAAAAAUAAUUGUAAUUUAUUAUAUUUUCAGGGACUUGUAUGCAAUUAAUCCAAAAAAAAAAAGGGGUGGG